ACACAUCAGCGGGGUCAGGGACGCUGCCAGGAAUUCGGCGUCCCAAAAAAAAAAAAAAAAUCACCUUGGGCCCCACCCCGGGCAGAUGUUGUCACCUCAUCUCCAGAACCUUAACUGACCCAACAAGCGCUUUACAUAACUCCAAAUCUGAAGACUCCCUAGAAUGAUACUAACUGACAUGUCAUUGAACACGGUGUUGCUCACCUUCUUCACUGGAACAGACUUCUUUUUACUAGGCACCGGGAGCAUAGUUUCACUCUGCGCUGCCGCGACUGUAGACUGACAGGCAUCCCGCUGCAGCUACAAAGCACGGUGACGGUCGCGGGGGUAUGCUGGAGCCUAUCCCAGCUGACUUUGGGUGACAGGCGGGGUACA